rnacentral:rRNA from 1 species
GACGAACGCUGGCGUCGUGCUUAACACAUGCAAGUCGAACGGAAAGGCCCUGCUUGCCGGGUACUCGAGUGGCGAACGGGUGAGUAACACGUGGGUGAUCUGCCCUGCACUUCGGGAUAAGCCUGGGAAACUGGGUCUAAUACCGGAUAGGAGCCAUUUUUAGUGUGAUGGUUGGAAAGUUUUUUCGGUGUAGGAUGAGCUCGCGGCCUAUCAGCUUGUUGGUGGGGUAAUGGCCUACCAAGGCGGCGACGGGUAGCCGGCCUGAGAGGGUGGACGGCCACAUUGGGACUGAGAUACGGCCCAGACUCCUACGGGAGGCAGCAGUGGGGAAUAUUGCACAAUGGGCGCAAGCCUGAUGCAGCGACGCCGCGUGGGGGAUGACGGCCUUCGGGUUGUAAACUCCUUUCGCUAGGGACGAAGCUUUUUGUGACGGUACCUAGAUAAGAAGCACCGGCUAACUACGUG